AAGCCACUCAAACUGCUCAGAUACAAAACCAGCUUCAGAAACAUUGGUGAAUAUGGAAUUCAACAAGGUCUUGUAAACACAAGCCAGAGCAGGUGAUGGCCAUCUGAACAGAUUAACUUCGCUCUGCUUACCUUGCUUCAAAGGUAAGGAGAGAUAGUCAGAUUUUAAUGUUUGAAACUCAGAGGUUGU
rnacentral:lncRNA from 1 species